rnacentral:hammerhead_ribozyme from 1 species
AUUGAAUGUUACUUGCAGCUGAUGGGCUCCAAAAAGAGAGAAGCCCCUUAGGUCCUGUAGUACUGGACUUGAAACAU